rnacentral:tRNA from 1 species
UGGAUAGAGCGUUUGACUACGAAUCAAAAGGCCGGGAGUUCGAAUCUCUCAGGGCGCGCCA